ensembl:rRNA 5S_rRNA 5S ribosomal RNA
GUCUACGGCCAUGCCAUUCUGAAUAAGCCCGAUCCCGUCUGAUCUCGGAAGCUAAGCAGGAUCGGGCCUGGUUAGUACUUGGGUAGGAGGCCACCUAUGAAGACCAGGUGCUGUAGGUG